rnacentral:tRNA from 1 species
UCUAAUAUGACAGAUUAAUGUAUUGAAUUUAAACUUCAAAAAUAAAAUUUAAAUUUUUAUUAGAA